UACGUAGGGACCAAGCGUUGUUCGGAUUUACUGGGCGUAAAGGGCGCGUAGGCGGCGUGACAAGUCACUUGUGAAAUCUCCGGGCUUAACUCGGAACGGCCAAGUGAUACUGUCGUGCUAGAGUGCAGAAGGGGCAAUCGGAAUUCUUGGUGUAGCGGUGAAAUGCGUAGAUAUCAAGAGGAACACCUGAGGUGAAGACGGGUUGCUGGGCUGACACUGACGCUGGAGGCGCGAAAAGCUAGGGGAGCAAACGGG
rnacentral:rRNA from 1 species